rnacentral:rRNA from 1 species
GAUGAACGCUGGCGGCGUGCCUAAUACAUGCAAGUCGAGCGAACGGACGAGAAGCUUGCUUCUCUGAUGUUAGCGGCGGACGGGUGAGUAACACGUGGAUAACCUACCUAUAAGACUGGGAUAACUUCGGGAAACCGUAGCUAAUACCGGAUAAUAUUUUGAACCGCAUGGUUCAAAAGUGAAAGACGGUCUUGCUGUCACUUAUAGAUGGAUCCGCGCUGCAUUAGCUAGUUGGUAAGGUAACGGCUUACCAAGGCAACGAUGCAUAGCCGACCUGAGAGGGUGAUCGGCCACACUGGAACUGAGACACGGUCCAGACUCCUACGGGAGGCAGCAGUAGGGAACCUUCCGCAAUGGGCGAAAGCCUGACGGAGCAACGCCGCGUGAGUGAUGAAGGUCUUCGGAUCGUAAAACUCUGUUAUUAGGGAAGAACAUAUGUGUAAGUAACUGUGCACAUCUUGACGGUACCUAAUCAGAAAGCCACGGCUAACUACGUGCCAGCAGCCGCGGUAAUACGUAGGUGGCAAGCGUUAUCCGGAAUUAUUGGGCGUAAAGCGCGCGUAGGCGGUUUUUUAAGUCUGAUGUGAAAGCCCACGGCUCAACCGUGGAGGGUCAUUGGAAACUGGAAAACUUGAGUGCAGAAGAGGAAAGUGGAAUUCCAUGUGUAGCGGUGAAAUGCGCAGAGAUAUGGAGGAACACCAGUGGCGAAGGCGACUUUCUGGUCUGUAACUGACGCUGAUGUGCGAAAGCGUGGGGAUCAAACAGGAUUAGAUACCCUGGUAGUCCACGCCGUAAACGAUGAGUGCUAAGUGUUAGGGGGUUUCCGCCCCUUAGUGCUGCAGCUAACGCAUUAAGCACUCCGCCUGGGGAGUACGACCGCAAGGUUGAAACUCAAAGGAAUUGACGGGGACCCGCACAAGCGGUGGAGCAUGUGGUUUAAUUCGAAGCAACGCGAAGAACCUUACCAAAUCUUGACAUCCUUUGACAACUCUAGAGAUAGAGCUUUCCCCUUCGGGGGACAAAGUGACAGGUGGUGCAUGGUUGUCGUCAGCUCGUGUCGUGAGAUGUUGGGUUAAGUCCCGCAACGAGCGCAACCCUUAAGCUUAGUUGCCAUCAUUAAGUUGGGCACUCUAAGUUGACUGCCGGUGACAAACCGGAGGAAGGUGGGGAUGACGUCAAAUCAUCAUGCCCCUUAUGAUUUGGGCUACACACGUGCUACAAUGGACAAUACAAAGGGCAGCGAAACCGUGAGGUCAAGCAAAUCCCAUAAAGUUGUUCUCAGUUCGGAUUGUAGUCUGCAACUCGACUACAUGAAGCUGGAAUCGCUAGUAAUCGUAGAUCAGCAUGCUACGGUGAAUACGUUCCCGGGUCU